GUUUAAAUAGUUUAAACAAAAACAUUGGUCUUGUAAACCAAAAUUAGAUAAAUACUUUUAAACA
rnacentral:tRNA from 1 species